GGGCAUGCAGGUGGUUACUGAUUAAACUGAUUAAACUUCCCACUUAGUGCGGGGCGAGGGGGUUGGAGGGGUGGCAAUCAUGCGCGUAGGAUAAGGGUGAGGCAGGGUGUGCGGGCCAGGGGAUGCAGAGAGAACAAGAGAGCAGCCUUCUUACGGGGCCUGACCAUCCAGCAGGUUUGCAAGAAUUACAGAGAUUCCUCUUUCUCUCCCUCUCUUUCUCUCAAAAUGUUCUCAUACGGGGGUAACGGGCUGAUUCUCCACUUAGCAAGCUUGUAUCGAAUGUCUCCCGGAAGCAGGCAGGGUGCCUGGGAUCCAAGUCGUGUGAUCUGCUGGCAGAGGAAACGUGAAGCUGGUAACGCCACAGAUUAUGUGCUAUUUGUGAAGACUAUUUCCAGAAGGAUACACAAAAAUCUGGAAACGGCAGACAGAGGGUCUGGAUAUCUACAAGAGAAGAAAAUUAACUUUUUCUGUACAUACUUUGGUAUUAAAUGUGUUUGUUUUCAUUAUGCACACAUUAUUCUCAUAAUUCCUUCAAAUUAAGGAAGUAAUUAAAACUAAUUAAAAGUCAUACUAGAAGACAUAUAACACAGAUGCUGCAGAUACGGACAGGAACAUAACGAACAGGCCUAAGAGUCUGUACAGAACGAGACAGAAAGGAGGAGGGGGCAUCAUGAGCAAGUGCGCAGAACGAAUGUUAGCACACACAGAAUACGCAGGGACAUUUUUAAGGGUGACUUAAAUAAAAGUAUUUCUGAAUCUGCAUAUCAGACAGACACACACUAUGUUUCAGGGGAAAAAACGAUGCUGAUAGAUAAACAGACAUUACCCGCUGAUGUUACUGAAUUUUAAGAACAAAGAAAACAAGAAGAAUCACAGGGCGCAGGCUUUACCGUGUGCUGCUAUGUAAUGCGGUGUGCGCGUGGCGUCUGCGAACGAGGUGCGUUAUGUGUGUGUGUUUAAUGCACUUAAUAUAAUAACAAAGAACCAUUUGGGAAUCACAUAAGUAUCCUGGGCUAAAGUGAUGUUAUUCCAGGGGAGGGACUCACGUUGGCUCCCUCCUGCCGCUCCAGAAACCCUCCCCCACCAUGGUGGAGGACCCUGCAGGACUGUCAAGGAAAAGUGCGGUGUCCCCAGAUUCUUUUCCUGCAAUCAAAUUGCCCUCCAAAAAUAAAAGCAACACAUGGACACACUCGGACAUGAAGAACUCAAGAGCUGACAGCAUCCAUGAGCUGCUCCUGGAAAACCCAGCUAACCAAACAGGACAACCGAAUAAGCAAGUCCAGAUGGGAAAGCUCUGGAACAUGAUCUCGCGGCAAACAGUGCACACGUCCAAACGCAGAGGUGGGACAAAGCAGUUCUGCAAGUUAUUGUUAUGGGGCAGGCCGCGGAUACUAUAACACUUUCAAAUGGACAGGUACAGCUACUAAAAUCCGGUGGGCAGGUGAGAGGCAGGGCGGAGGGAGCUAGGUAGGCACACUUGCUCCGUCAGCUUUUACAGUGAAUUAACAGGAAGUGUGAAAAACUGAAACGUGCAACUGAAAUGAUGCAGAGUCUAACCCAUUAAUUGCUUGUUACCAUUUUUCCCCCUUAACCUCCUAGGAGUCUUUUAGAAACCAAUUUGUUUUCUCAUGGAGAAGCGGCAACGGAGAAUUUGUUUGAAAUUUAGCAGUUCCUUAAAAUUAAAUAUAGUACAUGUUUGAUAAAUAACAUUUAUUCUAAGACCCAAUUCUGUACAACGAUUUCUCUCCAUCUGUCUUUUAGUAGACUGAUGGGUCUGCCGUGGCAUUUCUAGACCAGCGUUCACCAAAUCUCAUCUUUUUUCUUUCAUAUAUUUUUCAUGCUGUUUGGAUUAUCUCUAUAAAGACGUAUAUCUUUUUGUUCUCAAAAUAUGAAAGUCACUUUUCCCCAAGCUGAGUAAAGUAAAAUCUCCUUCUCUCAUCCGACUGCGAACCCCCAUCCUCCCUGGCAAAGAUUUAAUCAUCGCCGUCCUUUUCUCAUCUUUCCUCCCAGAAGAGUUGUAAUCGACCGCAGUGCUGUUCACACGGUGGCAUCGCGCCGUCCGGGCUGCUCUGGGACGUGCUUCCCCCGGAGACUGACCUGGCAGAGCCCCCACGGCCCUCGCCUGGUCUCAACAUGUUGGCUUUCUUGCGCGACAGCGCUGCAGCCCUUUUUUCAGGUCAAUGUCUGGAGCCGGACUGAGAUCGGAAGCUGGUUCCCACUGACUUGUGGAUGCGGGGCUGGGGCUCCCUAAGGACCACCAGCUUUCCGCCCUCCAUCUGCCCGAGAGGAGAAGGAACCAGGAACAAAUUAAAAUCUUGACUGUUUAAGCAUGUGCCUUUCAGCCUGAGCCUCGUCACACCCAGGUGGAAAUGAGUAACAGACAUCUUUCCACGGGACCGACCUCGCUCUCCUUCUGUGGCGUGGCUCUCAGGAAACAGGAGGGGAGUUCCAGGAAAUCAGAUCUAAAGAAACGCCGAGAGUCCAUAAAGAAUAAUUAUGACCCCGAGCCACAGGGAAGAGGAAAUGGGAUUCUGAUAAAUAGGAUUUUAUUAACUUGUUAACCUCGCCGGCCCGUCUAGGAAACUAAAAGCCAGACCUUUGGGCCCAGCAGUGACCAUUACAUGCUGGGACCCGACAAUCAGACGGAGCCCAGAGGGACGUGUUUGUACAAAGGAGGAGAAUGCAGUUAUGACACUGUGAACUUUCCACGUCUGAUUCCUGGGGGACAUUUGCUGGAAGGGAAUUAUCUUGAAACACGAAGCGAGCGAUAUUUCAUCUGUAGUCAUACUGGAGAUAAAAGCCCUUGUGCCUUAAAAGAAAGUAUAAAGCAACGCGCAGUAAAAUGUUUUUCUUCCUUUCACGGGAAGAUUAGCUCAUGUUCGGGGAAUAUAAUUUUAAACCUGGAAGUUGGUGACGUCUGGCUACCCCCACCCCAGCCGGCCACCAAGGCUCAGGGGGAGGCAGGGACCACAUGGUGCCUUCUAGACAAAUGACCACAGCCAGCCCCACCACCAAAACCCCCUGCCCUUUGCCAAGCUCUCUUAAUAAGGCAGCAGUUCUCUGAAACUCAACAGUCCACCGAGUUACUGCACCUUGGCUGAUCCAACAGGCAGAACGUGGGCCCAGGAGUGAGUCUGGGGUCUCUGGCUCCAGACAGGAAUUCCAGCAGCAGGUGGGCUCAGGCAUCUGAGGCUCCCAGGGAGAGGCUGGGCACCAGCAGAGGCCCAGCGACUCCCCAAAAUGAUGCUGGAACUGGCCAUGUGGGUCCUUUCAGCUCUAAACCUCCAGGUGGCUACCCAUCUCUCAGAGCAAAUCCCAAGUCCUUACAGGGACUCCGUAGCCUGUCCCCUCUUGGAGCAAGACCCGUACUUCGCGGCCCACCACGGCCCCACUCGCACCCCCGGGGCCUGUGUCCGGGCCUCUGCGGAAACGCCUCUUCUCCCAGGGAGCCACUGGGGAGGUUCCCCGUCCUUUCCCAGCCUUUGUCCCAUGACCCCUCCGUGAGGCCGGCCUGGCCUGCUGUGUGUUGGCUAAUUCUCCUCCCUUUGCUCUGUUUUUCCCAUUGCAUGUCUCACCUGGUGACCAACAAAAUCAGUUACAAUUUUAAAAAUGUUGUUUAUUGUGUAUGUUUCCUGUUUGCUGUCGCAUACAGCGUAAGCACCACCAGGCCCGAGGACUUGGUCUGUUUUCUCACUUGUGUGUUCCAAGCACCACGAAAGACGAGUGGACAAGGAGGGCUCACUUCCCAGCGCCGUCAGUGGUAGCGUGUUCCCCUCAAGUGCGGCCUGCUCAGCGGGGGGUCCCCCCCCCCGCCCCUUCCUCUCCAAGACUGUAACUCGGGGGCAGGCAGGACGCAUGGAAAAAAAAUGCCUUGAAAUCAGGCCACUCCCUGGCCUUACUUCACCCCCCUCGAAAAGAGUUCUGUGCUCUGACAGAAACCUGAAUGCGGUCUCUGCGCUGAAGCUUUCUGUCCAGGGGCCUCAGAACAGUAGGUGAUCAUCCAGGGCUUAGAAGGGGUGGUAUCGGGCCCAACAAGAGAAAGCCGGCAGCGGUGCUCCUGCCGCCUUCACCCCAGACUUCCUGGCUCAGUUCAGGGCAUGCCGACCGUGGCUAUGGUCCUAACACAGUGACUACUAUACCGAUAUUUGUAAAGUCCUUCAUUCAGAUGCUUUUUCCAAAACACAGGCUGGAGAGGCCGCCGCAUGCCACUGGAUUUGAAGGACACUGUGGUUCUUGCCUUUCCAGCCUUGAAUCAGGAGCCUUCGUGGAGGGUGCAGACGUCACGUUCUCGCCUUGCCUGCCUUGCCUUUCUUUCCUCACUGGUGGAAUGUGUUUAUUUAUUUUUGUCAUAGUUAGCAGGGAAGUUACAUAAAGACAUAGGAAUUUCAAGACCGAAAAAGAAAACCUAUUCAAUUGAAGCUAACAAGUUCAUUGCUGAUGGCGGGGUCUGAUUUAUCUGAAGACUGGACCGAAGGGAAAACCACAGCCCCGUAGAGUCAAUGAUAACCUCAGGUUAGCAUAAUACAAACCACGCAGAUUAUUUUAUCCAGUGCAGUUUGAAGUGGGCUUUGUGUGCCUGGUGCUGGAAACGGAUCCGAGGCUGUUUUCCAGGAAAGGCUUUCAGAAGUUGUGUGCUGCCCAGAUGUCGCCUCUGGGCUGGGAAGAGACUUGCCUGCUUACUUGGAAGUCUGAAGCUCAUUGUCAUUUGCAGUGCAUCCUAGCACAAUGCUGGUCAGCAAACUGAAAAACGUUGUUUCAUGAAAUAGAAGAAACAAGAAUGGAUCUUUUCUGUAUCCACAGAAAAGUUUUCCAUUUUGCUUCAUGCCUAUUUCAAGAAAUUUGGUUGAAGGCUUCAAGGAAAAAUGAACCGAAUGACUAGAGUCUGGAGGUCUUCACAUUCCCCUUUUAAAAUCAGGGUUCAUAGAUUACUUCUAAUUCUCUGGAGAAAUAAUGAGCACCAUCUUGAAAUGAAACAGACACGGCCUUCGGCAAUGAGCUGUGAUAAACUACCCGCACGGUGGGGCUGAAUGUGGUACCUGGGAGCCAUGUGAACGAGGAACCACCACUGUCCCGGGCGCCUGGCUGGAAAGCGCCCAGUCCUCACGCCCAGCGUCACCAUGCCCCCUGGCUCAGCACAAGCGCCUUGCACUCUGGCGGGGCGAUGAGUCACGUAAGAGGACAAGCCUGCCCCUCCGAGCAGACGAAGUCUCUGCUUCGACUUUGUCACAAAACCAAAUCUAAAUCCAGAAAGGAUGAGAAUUUGUCCUCGGGGGCUUUGCGAUGAAAUAAAACCAAUGGCAUUUCACUCUCUGGCUCAGAGUUUACUUUCAGCAGGGGAAAACAGUGCCUGCGGAUCCCUGCCUGGCUCCAGCAAACAUAAACCAUGUCUCUGAGAAACAACUGCUUGAUUAAUGCAGCCAAUUCCAGCAAACAACUUAAAAAUUUCAUGGAGAAAAGAAAAGGCAGUAAAAAUGCCUGUCUGACCAUCCAGGCCGAGCCAGCGCCAGGUCUGGGGAGGCAGCUGCGUCAGCCCUGCUGGGGUCCUGCACAGCCGGGCUGCCCCCCAAAUAUCCGGGCACCUCCAGGCACAGUCGCUGCAAACAGGAGGCUGUGCGUCCCGCUAGAGCCAGUAAAAUGAGAGGGCUCGGAGCCCGUGAUGUGGCGUCAGGACAGCUCGAGCCUGGCGGUCACCACCGGCCUCCCAGCACUGUGCCUCCUCCCCCACGUGCCCCCACCAGCACCCUGGGCACGGGAGGAGUGGCUCAGGGGAGGGGCUCGUCACAGAGCACCCCGCCUGCCUCGUACUAGUCCACCGGCUGGUCAUCUCCAGAGCUGUGGGACAGAACAAACUGAUGAGGUUGGCAAGAGAGGCAAACAUGGGAUGGCGCAGGGCAGAGCAUGAAGUGGUCACUCACUGCACUGUCAGUAGGACUCCCUGGCCACACCCAGCUCACUGCCAGGGGAUGGACUGUUCAUCUGCAGUUAUUACAAAAUAUUGGCGAUACUCUCCGUGUCGUACAUGCACCCUUGAGCCUCUCUCACACCCGGAAGUUCGCACCUCCUGCCCCGUCUCCCCUAAACCGCCCCGCCCCCUCCCCGCUGGUAACCGCUGGUUUGUUCUCUGUCUGUGAGUCUGCUUCCUUUUUCUUCUAUUUAUUAGUUGGUUGCAUUUUUUACAUUCUGCAGGUAAGUGAUGUCAUCCAGUAGUCAUCUUUCUCUGUCUGCCUUUUUUCACUUAGUCAUUUGGGUUUUAUUCACUGAUUUGGAAAAAAGUGUGUUGGCCAGGAAACAGAAGUGCCAGGCUCGGCAUAAGCCUUAGGGAAGCCCUCAUGGAAGAAGAGAUGGUCAAAGGCUGAAAGGAUGGCAUUAGCCAGGGUGGGGAGUCAGGACAGCACAAUGCUUUUUUCUUUUAAUUAUUGAUUUAUUAAUUUAUUUUUACUGGAGGUACUGGGGAUUGAACCCAGGACCUGUGCAUGCUAAGCACACUCUCUAUUCUCUACCCGCUGCCCCCUCCUCCCCUGGCACAGUGCUUUUGAUGAAUGACAGAUAGUUUACUGAGGCCCACUAGAGGGGAAUGGAAGAGUUAGACGGGCUGGAUCUGGUGCUGAGUUUCUAUGAAAAUUCCUUGAACUGUUGGCUUUCUUUCCAUCUGCAGCGGCUUAGUUCUGGCCCUCACCAACUCUUCAGGACAGCUGUAGCUGCCUUGUUCACCUCUCUGUCUUCGUCUAUCGGCCUUCCAAACAUCUCCCGUGCAGGACAAGAGUGGUUUUCCAAGUGGAGGGUGACUGAAUGGCCAGGCGGCCUGGAACAAGCAAGGACGAGCAGGCCCUGCCCAUGGAGACAGGGUUCUUACUGAGCAGACCCACAUCUUCACUUUGAGCAGAUACAAAAGCCCAAGGCAACUCUGUCUUUGGAGUAAGCCUAUAACCUAGAGUGCUGUCCUCUACAAUUCUAAGGGGGUCAGGCAGAGACCCAGGGCUCCAAGCCUUAUAACCCCAGGCCCCACCAGCACCUCUCCUGGGUCUGCGGGAAGCAAAGCCUUCGGAAUUUCUCAAAGCAUUGUGUUUUCUAGCAACUUUACAUCCCCAGGGCCCUUGGAGCCUCCAUGGGACGUUAUGGCUUCUGAUAUCAUCCCAAUCUCCUUCCCUUAGGAGCCUACCAACUCCCGGGCCUCAGGUGACACCCCUAUGGAGUCUGCAUCCCUGCUCUUGGAGUGGGAGCUAGGGCUGGAGGACUUGAGGAGUGGGCAACAAUUGCCAAGGGCCGUCGACUACAGUCCAAAUCCUCAGCUCAGGCCUCAGUGGAAGAGCAGACCAGAGGCCUGACAGGACACACGCAUCCAGGCUCUGUUGCUUGAAACUGAAAUUAGUCAUGCUUUCGGUGUUAAGAGAAUAACAAUAAAAUUACAUAAAAUGUUCAAAAAAAUUAAGGUAACAACAAAAAAGAUAAAUAAAAUUUCUUUAUGCGAAAGUUCUCAAGCCUUUAACAAGCCAGUGUACAUUAAGCCUCACCAAGAAGAGGAUCUAGCAUGCAGUAUUUCCCAGACUUACUCAGCCAUGAGCCCCUUCCCCGUCGGACUUCGGAAUGGAAUUCUAUCUCGCAGAAUCCACAUUGGAAAAAGUUGGGGUGGAUUAUUAGCUACGAUAUGUACAGGGACAUCAGGAGGACAGAUAAGCCCCAAAUGUUUAUAAUAAUUCUGAAAAAGUUGGAAGUAAUUUUCAUGUCCUCUGGAAAACAGAUGAGAUCGUAUUAGAAUGUCACUCAGAAUAUGAUCAUAGUCUACAUGGCAUAGAAACCAUAUAAGAAAUUAGGUACAUUUUAAAAAUUAGGAAUAAAGUUUGUGAGUGAUGAUUAUAAUUAUUUAUUAAAAACCAAACGCAGCAUCCGGCUGUCAGAGGGGCACUGAAGCUGGGACUUGUCCUCCUGCCUCAGCAAGUGAAACUGGACAGACUAUAUUAAGCAACUGUUUUCAGAUUUUGGAGAACAGGAAGUGAAAGACUGUGGUCCCUGAGAGACAGGAAACAAACGAGAUGGAUGCAAAAUUUGCUAGACUUACUUCCAGGAGGCAAAUUACAGACUGUAGUGCGGAGAGAAGAACCCCUACCGGAGCAAGGCCAUACCACUGGCUUGAGGGAACUGAGGACUUUGCAAGGCCGAGUGCUGGAGAGGGGGAAACCAUGCAGAGAAAGACCUGAGGAUCCUGCUAGGUGUCCCCUCAAGUCACUGGAUGAACACCACUCUGCACACGCACAGAGUGAAGCUCUAUGUGGCUAGAAGAAGAGCCUCCAGGUGCAGAAAAGGCACCAGGAACCUGUAAGUCAAACAACCCCAGGGUUUCUCAGACAGCAGAGCCAGAAACCUUUUGACUUGCCGCCAGCCAGAGAGGAGAGACCUUGUCAAACACACAGGGUCUUCAAUAGAGACCUUAGAAGGGCCGUGCCACAGCAGCGGGCCAAACUAGCCCUGGAAGAAAACGCUAAAAAAGAUUAAAUACACACUUCAAAACUAGCAAAUGAGUGCACAAAUAACUUAAUUGUCUGCCAGAGCACAGCCUAACAGUCUUAAAAACAACAAAGAAACAAAAAACCCUAAACUAAAAAAAAAAAAAAAAAAACGACAAUGUUUGGAUGUCUAUUUUAAAAUUACUAGACACAUUACAAAGCAGGAAGAUGUAACACGUAUAAAGAGAGAGCUCUGUCAAUAAAAACAAAACCAGAUUAUCAAUAUUUUGAAUAUUUUGAAGAUGGUAAAAUGAGAAGAAAGUAAUUUCAAAGCAUGUAUGUAUAUAUGCUUUGAAAUAUACAUGUAUAUAUGUAAUAUGCUCAAUGGUUGAAGGGAAAACACAAAUUUAAGGAAGAAAGAAAUAAAAAAUACAAAAAGAAUUAAAUGGAAUUUCUACAGAUAAAUAUCCCUAAAAUAUAAAUUUUCAUUGGCUUGGGUUAAGAGAAUAUUAAACAUUGCAAGAGAUCAGUGCACGUGAAGACAUGGCAACAGAACUACCCAUCACAAAGCAUACAGAAAAAACUGCAUGAAAAACCAUAACCAGAUUCCGAGUGAUCUGUGAGACAAUAUUAAGCCACCUAACAUGGAAUAAUCAGAGUCAGAAAAGAGAGAGAGAAGGAUCAGAAAUAAUAUUUGAGGAAAUGGGCAGAAGUAUUUUAAAUUUGAUGAAAACUAACCCACAGAUCCAAGUAGUCCAAUAAGCCCUAUUCUGAAUAAACACAAAGAAAACCACACCAAAGCACAUCACUGUAAAAUUUCUGAAAACCAGUGAUAAAGAGAAAAAUCUUAAAAGUAGCCAGAGGUUCAAGAGAAAAAGUACAUUACAGACAAAGAAACAAAGACAUUUUGUCAGCAACUAUACUGAGGGCAUUAUGUUAAGUGAAAUAAGUCAGAGAAAAGACAAAUACUGUAUGAUCUCACUUAUAUGUGGAGUCUAAAAACAAAAACAAAAGAAGAAACUCAUAGAAAAAGAGAUCAGAGCUGUGUUUAUCAGAGGUGGGAAGCGAGGUGGGGAGGGGGAAUCGGAGGAAGGCAGUAAAAAGGUACCAACUUCCGGUUACAAGAUAAACAAGUUCUAGGGAUGUGACGGGUAACAUGAUGACUAUAGUUAACACUGCCCUGCGGUGUACUUUAAAGUAAAGAGAGUAAGUCCUGAGAGUUUUCAUAACAAGGGGAAAAAAUCCUUUUUUUUUUCUUUUUCUUUUUUCUAUCUAUAUAAGAUGAUAAAUUAACUAAAUUUAUUGUGGUAACCAUUUCACAAUAUAUGAAAGUCAAAUCAUUAUGCUGUACACCUUCAACUUGAGCUGUCCUGUAUGUCACUUAUAUCUCAACAAAACCAGGGCAGGGGGUGAAAAUCUACACAAGUCAGAAAAAACCUUUCAGCUUAGAAUUUUAUAGACUUUAUCUUAGAACUUUAUCAGCCAAACAAAAACAGAGACUUUGUCAUCAGCAGAACUUCCCCACAAGAAAUGUUAAAGGAAAUUCUGCAAACCAAAGGAAAAUAAUUUCAGCUGGAAACUUGUAUCUAUCUGCACAAGGGAUGAUGUACAAGAUUUUACAAGAAACUGUAAAUAUGUGCAAAAAUAUAAUUUUUUUAGUUUUAAAAUUCCUUUCACCAACAAUUGACCAUUUAAAGCAAAAAUAGUAACACUGAUUUGUGUUAUUGUAUGUAAUAUAUGUAGAGGUUAACAUGUAUGACAACAACAACAAAAAGGUGGAAGGUUAGAUGUAAAGUUCUUAUGUUAUAUUUGAAUGAUAUAAUAUUCCUUGAAAAUAGACUGUGAAAUGUUAAAAAAGACAUAUUUUAAAUACUAGAGCAACCAAAGAAACAAAGUAGUAAAAGCUGGUAAUAUGAUGGUAGAUAUAAAAUGGCUUCAUAAACAAUACAAAAUUAAUUUUAAAGAAGACAGGUAAAGAGGAAAAAAAGGAACACAUCAGAUUAGCAAACAGAAAACAAAUAGAAGUAAAAUACGCUUAGCCCAAAUAUAUCUAAUAAGGGCCUUGAAUGUAAAUUGUCCAAACGUGCAUUGUUUCAUAUGGCAGUAACUAGCUACAUGUGGCUAUUUAAAUUUAAUUAAUUAUAAUAAAAUAAGAUAAAAAUUUCAACCCUCAGGCAAGCUAGAAACAUCUUCAGUGUUCAACAGCUACCUGUGGCUAGUGCCACUGUCUUAGUCAGUGUAGACGGGGAACAUUUCCAUCAUCACAGAAAGUUCUUUUUGACAGUAUUGAUCUAAACACAUCAACCGAAAAACAGAUCAUUCAGAUUGAAUGAGAAAACACAAUGCACUUGUAUGCCAUCUACAACAAUAAAAUAGCCUUAAAUAUAAAGACACAGAUAAGUUUGAAGUGAAAAAAUGGAAAUAGAUUUGCCAUGCAACACUAAUCACAAAAGAGCUGGAAAAUGGAGAAUUUGAAACAAGAGAUACUACCAGAAUUAAAGAGAGUCAUUUCAUAAUGAUAAAUGAUAAUGAUAAAGGACACACUUUAUCAUGAUGACAUACAAUAGUAAUAUGCAUGUACCUAAUAACAGAACUUCAACAUAGAUGAAGCAAAAACUAUACAAACUUAAAGGAGAAAUGGACAUAUUCAUAAUUAUAUUUGAAGAUUUUAACAUUUCUCUCUCUCUCAGUAAAUGAUAAAGCAAAUAGAAAAUCGAUUGUAAUACCCUGGACUUGGAAAACACUAUUAGCCAAGUUGACCUAAUUGACCUUUACGGAACACUAUAGUCCAAAACUGCAGAAUACACAUGCUAUUCUGAUGCGCAUGAAACAUUCACCAAAACAGUCACUAUGCUUGGUUAUAAAAUAAAUCUCAAUAAAUUUUAGACAAUUGAAA